UAAGGAAUAUUGGUCAAUGGACGCAAGUCUGAACCAGCCAUGCCGCGUGGAGGAUUAAGGCCCUCUGGGUUGUAAACUCCUUUUAUCUGGGAAGAAAUGUACUUUUUCUUGAGUACUUGACGGUACCAGAGGAAUAAGCACCGGCUAACUCCGUGCCAGCAGCCGCGGUAAUACGGAGGGUGCAAGCGUUAUCCGGAUUCACUGGGCUUAAAGGGUGCGUAGGUGGGCAGGUAAGUCAGUGGUGAAAUCUCCGGGCUUAACCCGGAAACUGCCGUUGAUACUAUUUGUCUUGAAUAUUGUGGAGGUAAGCGGAAUAUGUCAUGUAGCGGUGAAAUGCUUAGAUAUGACAUAGAACACCAAUUGCGAAGGCAGCUUACUACACAAUCAUUGACGCUGAGGCACGAAAGCGUGGGGAUCAAACA
rnacentral:rRNA from 1 species